GGUAGCGUGGCCGGGCGGUUUGAGGCUCUGGGUUAAGGCUCCAGUGUCUGCAGGCGGUGGGUUCGAAUCCCGCCACUGCCA
rfam:Loxodonta africana unplaced genomic scaffold scaffold_143, whole genome shotgun sequence.